UACGGAGGAUGCGAGCGUUAUCCGGAUUUAUUGGGUUUAAAGGGUGCGCAGGCGGAUUUUUAAGUCAGCGGUCAAAUCGUGGGGCUCAACCCCAUCCAGCCGUUGAAACUGGGGAUCUAGAGUGUGCGAGAGGUAUGCGGAAUGCGUGGUGUAGCGGUGAAAUGCUUAGAGAUCAUACAGAACACCGAUUGCGAAGGCAGCUUACCGGCGCUCAACUGACGCUGAGGCACGAAAGUGCGGGUAUCGAACAGG
rnacentral:rRNA from 1 species